rnacentral:lncRNA from 1 species
UUUGGCUUAUUUGGUAUAAAAAUUAUACGAAAAGCAUUCUCAAAUGUGAAAUGGUGUUUGGCUUUCUUUGGGCUGUAUUUGCAUAAAUGUUUCAUUGGUAUAUGUUCCAAAAUAAUGGGAAAGCCCUAUAAUUCUAAUAUGACUUAGUAUAUAUUAUUAAUAAUUAUAAUUGUCAUUGUAUGGCACAGAGGUAACCAAAUUUCUCUGUCAAUCAUGUUUUUGACUGUGGCUGUCCUAAGACGUUUUGUCACCUACAGAUAAUUGUUGUCUCAUUUUAGUCCUCUUUAGAAGGUGGUUUUAUAGUCAGCUACAGAACUCCAACAGGUACACUUGAAUACAGAUUUCUGAUAACUUUAGAGACUGUGACAUCAGAACAGAGAAAACAACUUCCAGAAGUCUCAUGGAGAGCUAAAAUGUUCAUGAAUAUCAAGCAGAACAGAAAUUAACUUCAUGGAAUAAACUGAAGAAGUCUAAAGUAAUCCGUUUAUCUUUUUGCUUAAAACAUUGCUGAUUCUUUGUUUUGUUUUUCAGAAUGAAGGAAAUUUUUCUUUAGAGCUAUUUACAGCCUUUGACAAUUGAGUAGAGUAUACUCCUGUGAACAAAAUUUGGAGCAUAUUUGUUUCUCUCUAGCUGAUUUCUCCAGAAUUUGGAAACACAUAUUUGCUAACCCUACUUAUUCUUGCGUACCAACCAGUGAUCUCUAACUGCUGCUCAGAAAAAACAAGAAGGAUGGGUAAUGUAAAAAUCUAAAUCAGUUAAUUCUGGGCACAUUGCAAAUAGCUAGCAACCCCACAUCAGCUUGGUUCCACCUGUUGCCCAGUUCAUGAAAAGUCUUCUAAUUUAGUUUGUUUGGGAUAAUUUUACUUGUUUUGCUUUAUUCUUGUGGAAUAUAUUGCUGUUGUACUCUUGGUAUAGGAAUGCAGAAUAAGCUUACUAAAUGUUUUCUUAAAUUGAACACUUAAUUAAUCUCCCAGAUAUCACCUUUUGUCAGAACUCAAGAGUUAUAAAUGACCCUCAGCAUACCAACUCUUUCUAACUGAGCUCCUCUCUACCCUGAACACAAGAGACCCUAAUGGUUAGGCAGGAAUAUCAUCGCCCGUAUUCAGCCUGAAGAUGUUACAGAAGAUGGAUCUUCAUCCCUCAGCAACCCUUAGGAUUAAGAGUUUUCUUAUAAAAGUGGGGGAAAUAGCAGAGGUGUUUGAAGCAGAGCUACUCCAUCUUGAAUAGGAGCUGGGUUAAAUAAGGGUGAGAUCUACUGGGCUGCAUUUCCAGAUGGUUAAGGCACUCUAAGUCUCAGGAUGAGACAGGAAGUUGGCACAAGAUACAGGUUAUAAAGACCUUGCUGAUAAAACAGGUUGCAGUAAAGAUGCCAGCUAAAACCCAGCAAAACCAAAAUGGAGACGAGAGUGACCUCUGGUCAUACUCACUGCUACAUUCCCACCAGCGCCAUGACAGUUUACGGAUGCCAUGGAAGCAUCAGGAAGUUACC